rnacentral:rRNA from 1 species
AUUGAACGCUGGCGGCAGGCCUAACACAUGCAAGUCGAACGAGUGGCGGACGGGUGAGUAAUGUCUGGGAAACUGCCCGAUGGAGGGGGAUAACUACUGGAAACGGUAGCUAAUACCGCAUACCAUCGGAUGUGCCCAGAUGGGAUUAGCUAGUAGGUGGGGUAACGGCUAACCUAGGCGACGAUCCCUAGCUGGUCUGAGAGGAUGACCAGGAACACUGGAUCUGGGACACGGUCCACAGCCCUACGGGACGCGGCAGGGGGGAAUAUGGCACAAUGGGCCCAAGGGGGGUGCAGCCAUGCCGCUGUGAUGUAGAGGGCCCUGGGGUUGUAAAGGACUGUCAGCGGUGCGUCGUUACUGGCAGAAGAAGGACCGGGUAACUCCGUGCCGGCAGCCGCGGUAAUAC